rnacentral:lncRNA from 1 species
GGGGCGGAGCCCUGGGGCGGGGCCAGCCUCGGGCCAGCCCCUGUAAGGCGGGGCGUCUACUAGUGUUUGACUGGCGGAGGCCAUAGCCAAUCGUCAGGGCACCAGGAUCCUUGGAGGCCGUAGGAGGUGCCUAGAGCGUAGUCCCGCCCCUCACUCAAUGUCCAAUCGCUUGCGGCUGAGCGUUGGCCCGGAGACGCUCUAGCUGCCCGCAAGUUGGCAGUUGUGAAGUGCGGUGGUGGUGGUAAGUGUAGUGGUGGUGGCGACGGCGUCGUCUGGGGAGGCUCCUGCAUGGUCUGAUGCUGUGUGACCCGAACGCCCCGGGAACGAGGCUGCGGCCAGGGAAGGCUCUUGCUGACAGACCGUAGGAGUUCCCAGAACCAUCGCGAAUGGGCACGCUGCGGGAAAACAACCCUCACAUCUGACACCAACAGGAGGCAAGGAACUUAGCCCUAAAGGCGCCCUAGUCAUGGGAGGACUCUGAGUACUCAAACAGACUGAGUCUCACAGGUCCAGCUACACUGGAGACGGUUCGGUUCUAAGCUCGUUCUGGCGGUUGUCUCCGAAACAAGGACUCUGGCUCAGCCAACCUCUGGGAAAGUACAAAGCAAGACUCUCCUUUUCCUUCCACACCGCCAGGGACAUUUUAACAAAAGCCUGGUUCUUCCCAUGCCCAAAGGCGCCCCAUGCAUUUCCUAUUCUCCACAAUGGGUUCUGCUGCUGUCUGCUGGCUCCUCCAGGAAUAUCGAGAAGCCAAACCAUCCAGUCUUCUUGGACAGAAAACCGCAGCAGUGCAAGCAAGCCACAUCCAUCGGACUCUGCAUUCCCCACUUUACCCUUUGGAAAACCUUGAUUAGGCUGAUGGUGUGAAGCUGCCCAUAGUUGGUAAUAGGGAGUGCACUGGGAGCCUUUAGGUCUGGCCUGAAUGGUAUUUUUGGCCAGGUUUUAAGAUCAAACACACACACACACACACACACACACACACACACACAGAGAGAGAGAGAGAGAGAGAGAGACAGAGACAGAGACAGAGACAGAGAGACAGAGAGAGACAGACAGAGAGACAGACAGAGAGAGAUUGAAGGGAAUGGAGAGUCAAAAGCAGAUAUUUGAGUAUUGCUGUCUAAGGCUUAGAAUAUGAGCAUGUCUUAGACUAUCUUCUUGGACUGGGUAGAUCCAAUCAGUGCUUAGACCUGUACUUGUGCAUCCAACUCAAGUUAAAAGGAAUGCACAACAGGACAAGAAAGGGACCAAACUUGCUAAUGGUCUGCCAAUCACGUGUCCCCCACCUCCAUACUCUUGCUUCUAACCCAAACACUUCAGAUCACUGUCUCAGUUCUGAGAAACUCUAAGGGAUUAUGUAGCCAUUUAGUACAGGUGACUGACUAUUCAUGUGUGAGAGAGCCACAGGUGUAAUUUCAAUGGCCAUCUGACUUCCACAACUUCCUCCUUUAUAACUCAUGUCUCAUGAAAAGGUUCUGAUGAGGUCACCAGGGAGAAGGAAGGUAAAAGGCCAGCUUUCAUCUGGCAAGAAACGAAACAGCACCAGCAGCAGAGAAAGCUGCGACUCAGGAACACAAAGAACUGCGCUCAUAAUAUCAAAGAAGCACAAUUGGGUCACCUUUGUCACAGACUGGAAGAAAGUAGAAAAAGCAUAAACUGGAUUUAGAAUGUGCGUAAAGAAAAUCCUGAAGCCUAACAAUAAAGACGGUGACUCCUGCUGCUUCAAGUCCAGUGCUACUCAGAGGAUCGGCUCCCCUAAAAGAGAAAGGGAGACUGGCCUUCCAACACAACGCAGGCAGACUUCAUUGGUCUUUAUGGCAGAAUCAAAUACAACAUGGGGGGAGGACUGAUUGGACCAGUUCAGCCUUCCUUGAAGCACGGUAGAGAAGAUAAGUUAACUUUAUAGUGUUUCCCUGAGAAGCACUGAAGGGCACACCAUGAAAGCAACUGAUUAUAGCACAGGAAGAUGCUAUGGUUGUUUGAGCCUUUAUUAAGGAUUAGUCAUUUCAGCAUGACGAGCUGCCCAGGCUAUGGCUGCACAUCACUUAUGUAGGGCUCCUGGAUCUUUCAAACACUGUAUGCAUCUGAUUAGGAGGGAAACAACAUUGUUCUCGCUUGAGUAGAGAAACUGACCUUCACUGACCAGAAUUUUAUUCAUACAAAGAGGCCUUUGGCACACCAAAGCUCUAAGCUCACAUAAUCAUUCAUCAGCAAGCUGCAGUGUUAGUUCAUGUGCAAAAUCAAGAAGUCUAUCUAAGCCCAGGUACCACCUUGGUUAUUAACAGAUAACACUGGAGCUUCUGCACAAGACUAUAAUGUAAAUUUAAUGCUGAGCUGACAUUAACCAAAUACUAUUAUCAUAGCUCUUGCUGAACCUAUGUUCUAUAGAGAGCUAGCUUCAAGGCUUCUGUUUAGUCAUUUGUGCCAUGUGAGACGUUAAAUGCUCCACUUCAUAUGCAUUACCAUCUUGGUAUAGCAUUUCUAUUUUUACCCAAAUGAAAAGAAACACACACCCUUCUUUUAGGAACAAACCCCAUAUUUUGGGGGCUAUGUAAUCAGGUGAGGUUGCUGAGGUGGUGACUUGGGUCACUGGGUUCUACAUAGCCUAUUAGGGACAAAUGAUGCCCCAGCACUCAUCUUUGAGUCUGCAACCAGCUGUAUUUGAAUCUUAAUCGCUUCUGAAUAAAUUGGAAUGGAACUUAAGAUCUUGGAUACAGGACACAUUUACUCACGGCUUCCUUGGCUCCCCUUAGA